AGCUUGCUACAUUACCUAGCGGCGGACGGGUGAGUAAUGCUUAGGAAUCUGCCUAUUAGUGGGGGACAACAUUCCGAAAGGAAUGCUAAUACCGCAUACGCCCUACGGGGGAAAGCAGGGGAUCUUCGGACCUUGCGCUAAUAGAUGAGCCUAAGUCAGAUUAGCUAGUUGGUGGGGUAAAGGCCUACCAAGGCGACGAUCUGUAGCGGGUCUGAGAGGAUGAUCCGCACACUGGGACUGAGACACGGCCCAGACUCCUACGGGAGGCAGCAGUGGGGAAUAUUGGACAAUGGGCGAAAGCCUGAUCCAGCCAUGCCGCGUGUGUGAAGAAGGCCGUUUGGUUGUAAAGCACUUUAAGCGAGGAGGAGGCUACCGAGAUUAAUACUCUUGGAUAGUGGACGUUACUCGCAGAAUAAGCACCGGCUAACUCUGUGCCAGCAGCCGCGGUAAUACAGAGGGUGCGAGCGUUAAUCGGAUUUACUGGGCGUAAAGCGUGCGUAGGCGGCUUUUUAAGUCGGAUGUGAAAUCCCUGAGCUUAACUUAGGAAUUGCAUUCGAUACUGGGAAGCUAGAGUAUGGGAGAGGAUGGUAGAAUUCCAGGUGUAGCGGUGAAAUGCGUAGAGAUCUGGAGGAAUACCGAUGGCGAAGGCAGCCAUCUGGCCUAAUACUGACGCCGAGGUACGAAAGCAUGGGGAGCAAAC
rnacentral:rRNA from 1 species